ACCAGCAUAUCACUGGGCAGGCAGAAGUGAAGCUGAGAGCCUUUUUGGGAGAUUAUGAUGGGAGUCAGAUGGAAGAAUGCUGUUUCAAGACUCUGUUGAACAUCUGGUUCAAUGGUAUAGCCAAUCAUCCACAUGAGGUGAACAUCUCACAGGGUGCCCUGUUUAUACUGCAGAAUUUCAGCAUAUAUUUGGCAACUUUACUGAAAGGAGACGCUGAGGUGCACAUAAUAUAGCCAAAACCUUGCCCUGGAAAUAAAAAGCAAAUAAUUGGCUUUCU